AUUAUUCCAUAAUCGAUAUAACUUCCCUCAAUUCGAGUUUCUUCUUCUCUAGUAAAAACUUUUCUCUUUCUCUCUUUAUUCAAAUGGGAUCGAAGUAGUAACUCAACCUAGAAUCGUUGUUAUUCAUCGUGCCCAAAGUAGAAUCACCAACGCCAAUGGCUUCUUCUUCUUCUUCACCUACGACAACCACUUCUUCUUCAAGGGAUAGUUGUCGACCCACCCUCCCUCGUGUGAGGAUUCUUCCUCCUUCCAGUAUCUAGUUGUUGUCGCUCAGCCUUGCUAAAACUGGUGACUCAUCGACAUCACAAACAUUAAGUUUCUCCCUCCUCGUACAAGGGUUUCCUUCUUCUUAAAUCUCCACCACCGCAGUGACCUUCGCUCAGCACCCCAUCAUUCAUCUCUCCUACAACCAAAGCGUCGUCACAUGCUCCCC
rnacentral:lncRNA from 1 species